CUACGGGAGGCUGCAGUGAGGAAUAUUGCACAAUGGGGGGAACCCUGAUGCAGCAACGCCGCGUGGAGGAUGAAGAAGUGAGGUGUGUACCCUCCUUUUAUAUGUCAAGAAAAUGACGGUAGCAUAUGAAUAAGCACCGGCUAACUCCGUGCCAGCAGCCGCGGUAAUACGGAGGGUGCAAGCGUUACUCGGAAUCACUGGGCGUAAAGGACGCGUAGGCGGGUUGGAAAGUCAGGUGUGAAAUCCUACAGCUUAACUGUAGAACUGCACUUGAAACUUCUAAUCUAGAGUAUGGGAGGGGGAGAUGGAAUUAGUGGUGUAGGGGUAAAAUCCGUAGAUAUCACUAGGAAUACCUAAAGCGAAGGCGAUCUCCUGGAACAUUACUGACGCUAAGGCGUGAAAGCGUGGGGAGCAAACAGGAUUAGAUACCCUCGUAGUC
rnacentral:rRNA from 1 species